UACAGAGGUCCCAAGCGUUGUUCGGAUUCACUGGGCGUAAAGGGUGCGUAGGUGGUUGGGUAAGUUUGAUGUGAAAUCUCCGGGCUUAACCCGGAAACUGCAUUGAAUACUAUCCUGCUCGAGGUUUGGAGGGGGGACUGGAAUUCUCGGUGUAGCAGUGAAAUGCGUAGAUAUCGAGAGGAACACCAGUGGCGAAGGCGAGUCCCUGGACAACACCUGACACUGAGGCACGAAAGCUAGGGGAGCAAACAGG
rnacentral:rRNA from 1 species